rnacentral:rRNA from 1 species
UUUUUGGAUUAAGGAAACCGGCGCACGGGUGCGUAACGCGUAUGCAACUUGCCCUUAUCAGGAGGAUAGCCCGGGGAAACUCGGAUUAAUACUCCAUAAGAUUUUGAUUGGCAUCGAUUAAAAUUGAAAGAUUUAUUGGAUAAGGAUAGGCAUGCGUCAGAUUAGUUAGUUGGUAGUGUAACGGACUACCAAGGCGAUGAUCUGUAGGGGGCCUGAGAGGGUGAACCCCCACACUGGUACUGAGACACGGACCAGACUCCUACGGGAGGCAGCAGUGAGGAAUAUUGGACAAUGGAGGGAACUCUGAUCCAGCCAUCCCGCGUGCAGGAAGACGGCCCUAUGGGUUGUAAACUGCUUUUGUAUGGGGAUAAAUCUACCUACGUGUAGGUAGUUGAAGGUACCAUACGAAUAAGCAUCGGCUAACUCCGUGCCAGCAGCCGCGGUAAUACGGAGGAUGCAAGCGUUAUCCGGAUUCAUUGGGUUUAAAGGGUCCGUAGGCGGGCUGAUAAGUCAGUGGUGAAAUUUUGUCGCUCAACGAUAAAACUGCCAUUGAUACUGUUAGUCUUGAGUGAUAUUGAAGUAGCUGGAAUGUGUAGUGUAGCGGUGAAAUGCAUAGAUAUUACACAGAACACCGAUUGCGAAGGCAGGUUACUAAGUAUUAACUGACGCUUAAGGACGUUUAGCGUGAUGCGAACCAGUUUAAUACCCCUGUUGUCCAACGCCUGUCAACGAGCACAUCUG